AAGCAAUUUGCUCAUAGCCAUAGCUUUCUUGUGAAAGUAGGAUAUUAACCCAGGUGUCUUGGUGCUGGAGAACAGAACUGGCCAGAGUCCAUCCUGUCUCCCACCGGCAUCCCAUUACGAAAUGAACACAGAAAAGGCAGGUCUGCAAUGCCAACAUCUAGUAUCUAUCCCAAAGACCAGGGAGAAAGGAAGGAAAGAUUCUGGUUCUGUCCUCUUCCCCAAGGCAAGGCUGGCUGCCCUACCAACAGAGGCAAAGAGAAGAGUGUGCAAGGCUGGCUGCCCUCCCAACAGAGGCAAAGAGGAGUGUGUGUUGAAAUAUCCAUUGAAUCCCUGAGACAACUGGAUCCUGGCCCAUUGAAUCAUAAACUCAUUUCAGAGAAGAUGAAACUGAUGUGCGUCAAAAAGCUGGUAGUCUGUCAAGGAAAUGAGCUGAACAUGUCUGUGUACAGCUUUUGUGCCAUCCCUGGAUGAGCGAGCUGUCUGCCUCUAUGUUCUCCACAAAAUGGAAUAUAGCUGUACACCCAAGCCAAGUUAUGGAGGCUGGGAAGACCUAGAAUGUGGCAUCACUAUUUGGUAAGAACCUUCCUAUGUCAUUGUAGAGUGAGGGACUUGGGUACCACAUGGCAAGGCAUAGUACCCAAAUCCCUUUCCUUCAUAAAAGUAUUAAUGUCAUCAAAGAGGCCCCACCACCAUGAUGCCAUCUGGGGCCUCAUGACCCCAAUGCCUGAUGCCAAAGACUCCCACCUCAAAAUACUUUUUUCUUCAGCAUAACAUUUUAUUAAUUAUCUGGGAAUUUCACAUCAUGUACUCCAAUCACACUCAGUUCCCAGUCCUUCCAUGUCAGCCCCCACCCUUGUUACUUGCCCCCCAAAAGAGGAAAAUUAAAACUAAGAAUUAAAAAAAAUUAAAAAAAUUAAAAUACACAAGUCCAAUUUAUGUUACCUAUAUACUCACUGAAGCAUGGUCAGAUUCUCAGUGGCCUGGCCCUUAAAUAGAAGUGAGUCUUCCCCCUCCUGCAUCUGAAGCCAUUAAUUGCGUAGAGCUACACUUCAACAUCUACAUCACACUUUCAAAGAGUUCUCUUCAGUGGAUUCCUGUUCUAGACCAUUACUUUGGAGACAGGGGUAGGGGAUUGUCACAAAAAGCCUUCCAUGUCCCUUCGUCUCAGUUGUACACCUGCAGUCAUCAAUAUCCCAGUGUAACUAGUCCCCUUGUUCUUCAUAGUUAGUGGAAACAUGGAUCAUGGGCCUCUCAAGGUUUCUGAUAACAUCCCAGACCAUGAACAUGGCCCUCAGGUGCAGGAGGACCACAGAUCCAGACAAAGACCAGAUCACAGCCAUAAAAAUAGCCUCAGGUGGCAGCAAAGGCCACUCAGAUUAGUAUGGCCUUUGGUGGCAGCACUAUCCAUAAACAUCAACGUAGCUUCAGGCAGCAGCACAGACUGUGAACAUCUCAUGGUCUUCAGUGGUAACACAAGCCAUGGAUAUCUACCUACAGCAGAACCAUAUAUAGAUUUGAUAAGUUUCCACACAUGAACCCAGGACACAUUUAAAUCAUGGCAGUCUACAUCCUGAUCCUUCCCUUGUC
rnacentral:lncRNA from 1 species